rnacentral:rRNA from 1 species
UACGGGGGGGGCAAGCGUUGUUCGGAAUUACUGGGCGUAAAGGGCGCGUAGGCGGUUCGCUAAGUUGAAUGUGAAAACUCUGGGCUUAACCCAGAGCCUGCAUUCAAUACUGGCGGGCUAGAGUUCUGGAGGGGAUAGCGGAAUUCCUGGUGUAGCGGUGAAAUGCGUAGAUAUCAGGAAGAACACCCGUGGCGAAAGCGGCUCUCUGGAACGGUACUGACGCUGAGACGCGAAAGCGUGGGGAGCGAACAGG